rnacentral:rRNA from 1 species
GCAACUCGCCUACAUGAAGUCGGAGUUGCUAGUAAUCGCGGAUCAGAAUGCCGCGGUGAAUGCGUUCCCGGGUCUUGUACACACCGCCCGUCACACCAUGGAAGUUGGGGGCGCCCGAAGCCGGUGGCCCGAUCGAAAGAAGGGAGCCGUCGAAGGCAGGCCGGAUGACUGGGGUGAAGUCGUAACAAGGUAUC